GAUGAAGAACGCAGCGAAAUGCGAUAAGUAAUGCGAAUUGCACAAUCCGUGAGUCAUCGAAUCUUUGAACGCACAUUGCGCCCCUUGGUUAUUCCGAAGGGCAUGCCUGUUCGAGCGUCAUUAUCACCCCUCAAGCCCUGGCUUGGUGUUGGACUUUAGUUAUAGCUUUGCCUAUCAACUGGUCUCAAAGAUAGUGACGGCGCCCCAGAGGGAACCGGGUACGAGGAGCUUUUUACUAAGCAUGUAUCUGGGACGACUCUGGGCGACGGUCUUGUUAUACUUUUUACCUAAGUGUUGACCUCGGAUCAGGUAGGAAUACCCGCUGAACUUAAGCAUAUCAAUAAGCGGAGGA
rnacentral:misc_RNA from 1 species